UUGUUUUUCGAUCGGGGGUUUUUAUUUGCUGCUAAGUUGGGAUUUUGUUUGCGCCGCCAGAUUCGAACACGCAUUCUUCUUGAAACGGGGAGCUCCAACAACGUUUUGCCGCAACCCUGUAGAACGUUGCAAAUCCGGCAAGAUUCCACCUCGAAGUUCGCGGCGGUACACGCGCCGAAAUCCACCGCCGUGAGAUCGCGGGCUUGGCUUAGCUUACUGAGAAAUGUCAGGAGGGACCGCCCAAGUUUGAGGAAGCUUUGGACGCUUUGGACGGUUAUGGAAAAUACGCGAAGUAGGUGAAUUGACGACCAAGUUGGAGAAGAAGUACUGCAAGUGCGGUGGCAAGCGGCUUUCGUGACUGGGUGGUGGGAGCCAGACUACGAAACAUUGCGAUCAUGCGCGAGCAAGAGCUGUCCUUUGAGGAGGGCGUUGUCGCAGCGGUCGUGCCUCCAAGAGCCGCGCCAAAAUCAUCGAGUUAAACGUGCUACUGUUUUACAAAAUGCUCUUUGCUCGAUCGAUUGUUCCGUUCUCUUCGUCGAAGAUGCCAGCUAGCUCAAGUCCAUCCAGAGUUAGAUCUUCAUGGUGUUUACAAACUUAAACAUCGUGUACAAAUUGUAGCUCACGGGAACGCCGCUGCAGAACCAUAUGGAAGUUAAGAACAAGUUCGACCUUGGGAACGAUCCAGAACGAGACCGAUGUAUCAGGUAUCAGGGUCAUGAGCUGUGCAAAAUGAUGUGCCCGCACUAGCUGCUAGGUGUCAAAGCGGACGUGCUGAAGAACAUGCCCGCCAAGUCUGAGUUUAUCGUGCACUUGGAUCUGUCCCCGAUGUUUUUUUUUUAAGUACGACAUAACGCGUUACUUUGAGGUGUUGGUCCCUAAGGCCGUUGGCGUUACCUGCUUGCUUAUCACCAUUAUGUUGGACCUAAAGAAGUUCUGCAACCAUCAGUACUUAUACGUACAGGUUCUGCUGAGCCGAGAAUAAACUACGAAGUUACGUCGCAGACGAAGGCGGCCGGCAAGUUGGUGCGGAACGCUGCGUCAGGAGUUUCUGCUAAGGCACCGAGAGCGCAUCAGAUUUGCUUUCUGCUAUUGAUCGUGGGUUACAACUUGGCCACGAAAGACGCACUCAUCAUCUACGAUUCGGAGAACAAUCCGCAUAAAGAUUAUCAGACGUUUUCGCGUGUCAACGUACCGGACAAGCCAAUGAAUAAUAAUUUUUGUACCCUCUUGGUGGUACGACCUGGAACCUGGGACGGGCGAGUUAGACGAUAUUCUGCGAUUUGGUACGGAGGAACUUUUUAAGAAAGAGUUGAGUUUUUUCAAACUAACAAUGUAAUAAAAUUCAAUAAAUUUUAUUUUAUUUUAAACAUUUUUUGUACUUUUUUAAAUGUGUGUAUUCUUUCAUCCCUUUGAUCGAUAUGUCAGAUGGAAACAAACUUUUUUACUAUUUCUACAUAAUUUCCAUCAUCUGGGGUGAAUUGGGACAGCUGUUUUAGCCAGGUACUUGCCCUAUAUUUUUAUAUUUUAUAUUGAUUUUGGAUAGAACAGAUACAGAUCAACUAAAUUAAAACAUCGAUUUCUUAAUUUGAAGAAUUGAAUGAUUUUGCCAUUUACAGUAGUUUGUCCUUAUUCAGACUGUAGUCCCGA